UCAAGUUCAAUAAUGACGAUUUUGACUUUUACCGUUCAGGAGUUAUGGUUCUUGAAAGAUUGAAAAAUGGUGUUUCCCGUCGUGUCCGUGCAUUUUCUCAUGAACCAUUCAACCAAAGCUUUUGAAAUUUUAAUAUGUUGUUACUGAUGACAAAAUAGAGGUCAAGUUCAAUAAUGACGAUUUUGACUUUUACCGUUCAGGAGUUAUGGUUCUUGAAAGAUCGUAAAAUGGUGUUUCCAUUCACGUUGUUGCAUUUACUCAUGAACCAUUCAAUCUAAGCUUUUCAAAUUUUAAUAUGUUGAUACUGAUGACAAAAUGGAGGUCAAAUUUGAUAUUGACGAUUUUCACUUUCACCAUUCAUCAGUAAUGGUUCUUGUGAUAUUGCCAGGACACAAAUAAAUGUUAAUAAAUCCGGUUUGCUGUCGUUGUGACAGCCUCUUGUCUAAU
rnacentral:lncRNA from 1 species